GAUGAACGCUGGCGGCGUGCCUAAUACAUGCAAGUCGAGCGAACAGACGAGGAGCUUGCUCCUCUGACGUUAGCGGCGGACGGGUUAGUAACACGUGGAUAACCUACCUAUAAGACUGUGAUAACUUCGGGAGACCGGAGCUAAUACCGGAUAAUAUAUUGAACCGCAUGGUUCAAUAGUGAAAGACGGUUUUGCUGUCACUUAUAGAUGGAUCCGCGCCGCAUUAGCUAGUUGGUAAGGUAACGGCUUACCAAGGCAACGAUGCGUAGCCGACCUGAGAGGGUGAUCGGCCACACUGGAACUGAGACACGGUCCAGACUCCUACGGGAGGCAGCAGUAGGGAAUCUUCCGCAAUGGGCGAAAGCCUGACGGAGCAACGCCGCGUGAGUGAUGAAGGUCUUCGGAUCGUAAAACUCUGUUAUUAGGGAAGAACAAAUGUGUAAGUAACUAUGCACGUCUUGACGGUACCUAAUCAGAAAGCCACGGCUAACUACGUG
rnacentral:rRNA from 1 species